rnacentral:rRNA from 1 species
UACAGAGGUCCCAAGCGUUGUUCGGAUUCACUGGGCGUAAAGGGUGCGUAGGUGGCGAGGUAAGUCGGAUGUGAAAGCUCGGAGCUCAACUCCGAAAUGGCAUUGGAAACUACCUGGCUUGAGGGUUGGAAGGGGGACUGGAAUUCUCGGUGUAGCAGUGAAAUGCGUAGAUAUCGAGAGGAACACCAGUGGCGAAAGCGGCGCACUGGACCAUAACUGACGCUGAGGCGCGAAAGCUAGGGGAGCAAACAGG